UCUCAUUUUUGACUGUCAUACAUGAUGCCUAGCUCAUAUUUUCUAUUAUCAAGGCAAAAACUAAGAAUUAAUGAAAAAAAAUUAUGCAAGAACUUAUGUAUGUGCGAACACGUGAAAUUGGUAUCACAUGUAAUUGGCAUGUUAUGGAAUUUAACUACACUUUGAAAAAAAUUGGUUCUUCAGCGGUUCUUUGGGGUGGUUAAGGUGUUAUAUAGCACCACUACCUUAUAAAGAACCUGUAAAGCCCCUGUAUGGUUCUUCAGCGGUUCAGCGGUUCCUUGCUGUGGUUAAGGUGCUAUAUAGCACCACUGCCAUAAAAAGAACCCGUUAAGCCUCUGUAUAGUUCUUUAAACUUUCUCUAACUCUCUUAGUUUAGGUGGGGAAAGGAUUAAAAACAACAUUAAAUUACAGUGUAUUUUCUAAACAUAACCUGGUUCUCAACCUUUUUGUCCCCAAGCCCUCUGUAAAAGUGAAUAUGGGUGUAAGUUGGAUUGCUAUAACUAUUUGAGUCUAAUUACUUCUUCUUUCUGCGAAUUGCUCUCAAUAUUGUACACUCAACUACUCAAAUAUCUCACUUUCAGCCAAAGGAUAAUUUCUCUUUAAGGACCCCGUGACAGACGGUUUUUUUUCUGACGUCAUGACUCACGAGCCUUUCUCGAGUUUUCUGCUCGGCCGCCAUUAAUUUCCCCUGGACUCGGAUGAAUUAAGGAUCUAAAACUCUUCAAUGUUUGACGACUAAGGACACUUUGCAAUAACUUUACAUGACUGAAAACAUUCACCUGAGAAGUGUGUCCUGAAGGCCCUUAUCUUUUUCCUGAGAGAAAGUCCUGAAGACCUCAUCAAGGAGUACUUUCUGAGUUGAACGAUAACCCGACAGAUGAUUGAGGAGCAGCUCAUCAUGGCGAUGUUCAUUAUUUGGAAGGAGGGGGAGAACUUCAUGAACCAUCUGCUGACAUUGAGGGAGUUAAAGCUUUGAAUCAACUUACUUAAGUUACAUCAGCUUGUGCCCUGCUUCUAGGCCUACAGUUGGAAGCAGCUAUUCUCCUCUUGCCUGCACUGUUCAAGGUGGACCUGGGGUUGCUGUUUGACAUUGAGGGCCAUGCUCAGACCAGCCCUCCUGUCAUCCCAACACCUAAGAUAGUGCCUAAAGCCUGCGGGAGGAUCGUCUCAUGCAGUAUGACCACAUUUUGUUCACGUUGGAUGGCCAGUUAAUCACAGAGUAGAGUGAGGACAUCUUGAUGGCACUGGACCUCCUCCUAUGUGUAUAUUUUGCAUUUGGAAUCGAAUCCAAUCCAGUAUCCUAAAGGACUGAAAAAGACACUGACCUUUUUGAAGUGUGUUGUUUUGAAAUUGAAGGAUGCAGUCGGACUUCCUGUCACUGUAAAUUGAGUGUACAACUCAAUCUGUGAGUAGAAUUUCGGAGUCAAUAUUCUCUCUUGCUCCCUUUCUUAUGGUUUUAGUUCCAGUUUCUAUAUUGUUUUUGAAAUCAUGGAAAUCAGGACUUACAAAAAUGUUAGUUUCUAUAUUUUGGACUUUUAUUUAUGUUGCCUAGCAGGUUUUUUGUCUUAUUUUUGUUCUUGUACUAUAUUUUUUGUUUUGUACUAUUUGAUUGAUCUUGAGUAAAUAAAUAAUGUACAUUUCUACAUUUUGGACUUUUAUUUAUGUUGCCUAACAGCUAUAGCCUGGGUGCCAGCCCGAACCCCGCCCACAAC